GCGCACCAGUCGCGAAAACUUCACAAUGUGCGAAAGCACGAUGAGGGAAUCCCAAGUGCUUGCACGUAAGUGUAAGCUGUUUCUCUGUCUAAAACGCAGAGAGAGUAAGGGCUGGGUAAGACGGGUGCCAGCCGCCGCGGUAAUACCUGCAGCUCGAGUGGUGACCGUUAUUAUUGGGCCUAAAACGUCCGUAGCCGGUUUAAUAAAUGCCUGGGUAAAUCGGACCGCUUAACGGUUCGAAUUCCGGGUAGACUGUUAAACUUGAGACCGGGAGAAGUUAGAGGUACUCCUGGGGUAGAGGUGAAAUUCUGUAAUCCUAGGGGGACCACCAGUGGCGGAGGCGUCUAACUAGAACGGGUCUGACGGUGAGGGACGAAGCCCUGGGGCGCAAACGGGAUUAGAUACCCCGGUAGU
rnacentral:rRNA from 1 species